UAUCUAAGGAACUUGAAACUU
rnacentral:piRNA from 1 species